CGUACGUAGCCGCGUGCGUGUCAUCGGUCGAUUCCGCGUCACUGCGCCGCGUACUCGCAGUUCGUCGCACCGCGUUCACGCGACAGCCACGCGGGUGAUGUUCGCGCGAUAACCCCCUCCCCGUGAACCCGGUGUUCACGAUCGGUGGGAGGAUUACGAGACGCUCGUGACCGGAGACGUUGCAUCGUCGACGAGCCGAGGAAAGAAAGGAUCGCACACAGGCUUGUCCCGAGCCGGUGAAAAGUCGCCGAACUGUCCGUGGAUCAGCUCGCCCCAGAAAGCGCUCUCCUUCGGCCCCGAUUACGCGUUGACAAGUGAAGAUGUAGCGUAUUUACGCCGCUUCGGUGGUUUAAGCGGUUCAACCGAGCUCAGGCGGUCGCGCACAUACCGGCGGAUAAACGACGGCUUCUCCCUCAAAUAACUUACAAGUGGCGUAAGUUCCUUCGGGAGGACGAGAGAGGAAGAGAAGAGGAAGGGACGAAGAGAGAUAGACCGAAGGAGAGAAGCGG